rnacentral:rRNA from 1 species
GACGAACCGUGCGAACGUUGUUCGGAUUCACUGGGCUUAAAGGGCGCGUAGGCGGGUGGUCAAGUCGGGGGUGAAAUCUUUCAGCUUAACUGGAAAUAGCUUCCGAUACUGGCCGUCUUGAGGGAGGUAGGGGCAUGUGGAACUUCCGGUGGAGCGGUGAAAUGCGUAGAUAUCGGAAGGAACGCCGGUGGCGAAAGCGACGUGCUGGACCUUUUCUGACGCUGAGGCGCGAAAGCCAGGGGAGCAAACGGGG